rnacentral:sRNA from 1 species
AUCCGCUGAGGAAAUUCAAGCUGGUGUUCCUGGGGGAGCAAAGCGUUGGAAAGACAUCUUUGAUCACCAGAUUCAUGUAUGACAGUUUUGACAACACCUAUCAGGCAACAAUUGGCAUUGACUUUUUAUCAAAAACUAUGUACUUGGAGGAUCGAACAGUACGAUUGCAAUUAUGGGACACAGCAGGUCAAGAGCGGUUCAGGAGCUUGAUUCCUAGCUACAUUCGUGACUCCACUGUGGCAGUUGUUGUUUAUGAUAUCACAAAUGUUAACUCAUUCCAGCAAACUACAAAGUGGAUUGAUGAUGUCAGAACAGAAAGAGGAAGUGAUGUUAUCAUCAUGCUAGUAGGAAAUAAAACAGAUCUUGCUGACAAGAGGCAAGUGUCAAUUGAGGAGGGAGAGAGGAAAGCCAAAGAGCUGAAUGUUAUGUUUAUUGAAACUAGUGCAAAAGCUGGAUACAAUGUAAAGCAGAGAAUAGGUUCUUGCCAUGUUGCCCAGGCUAGUCUUGAACUCCUAGACUCAG